UACGGAGGAUGCGAGCGUUAUCCGGAUUUAUUGGGUUUAAAGGGUGCGUAGGCGGCGAGUUAAGUCAGCGGUAAAAGCCCGGGGCUCAACCCCGGCCCGCCGUUGAAACUGGCUGGCUUGAGUUGGGGAAAGGCAGGCGGAAUGCGCGGUGUAGCGGUAAAAUGCGUAGAUAUAUGGAAGAACACCAGUGGCGAAGGCGGCCGCCUGGCCUGUUACUGACGCUGAGGCACGAAAGCGUGGGGAGCAAAUAGG
rnacentral:rRNA from 1 species